rnacentral:rRNA from 1 species
AGUAGGGAAUCUUCGGCAAUGGGGGCAACCCUGACCGAGCAACGCCGCGUGAGUGAAGAAGGUUUUCGGAUCGUAAAGCUCUGUUGUAAGAGAAGAACGAGUGUGAGAGUGGAAAGUUCACACUGUGACGGUAACUUACCAGAAAGGGACGGCUAACUACGUGCCAGCAGCCGCGGUAAUACGUAGGUCCCGAGCGUUAUCCGGAUUUAUUGGGCGUAAAGCGAGCGCAGGCGGUUAGAUAAGUCUGAAGUUAAAGGCUGUGGCUUAACCAUAGUACGCUUUGGAAACUGUUUAACUUGAGUGCAGAAGGGGAGAGUGGAAUUCCAUGUGUAGCGGUGAAAUGCGUAGAUAUAUGGAGGAACACCGGUGGCGAAAGCGGCUCUCUGGUCUGUAACUGACGCUGAGGCUCGAAAGCGUGGGGAGCAAACAGGAUUA